rnacentral:rRNA from 1 species
UACGUAGGGGGGCAAGCGUUGUCCGGAAUCAUUGGGCGUAAAGAGCGUGUAGGCGGCCCGGUAAGUCCGCUGUGAAAGUCCAGGGCUCAACCCUGGAAUGCCGGUGGAAACUGUCGGGCUAGAGUCCGGAAGAGGCGAGUGGAAUUCCUGGUGUAGCGGUGAAAUGCGCAGAUAUCAGGAGGAACACCAAUGGCGAAGGCAGCUCGCUGGGACGGUACUGACGCUGAGACGCGAAAGCGUGGGGAGCAAACAGG